AAUGAUUCUUGUUUCUCUCUCUCAAGCUGCAACUCCAAUUCAUUUCUCCUGGCUUGUAACGAAUCCAACUCCUGCUGCAAAUUGUGGAGCUGCGUCACUAGGGCUGUUAAUUGGGAGGAAGUUUCAUUUUCCAAGCUUGCAUGCUUUUCCCCAAGGGCAUUGAACUCAAGCCCUCUUUCUACCAAUGUUUUCUCUAAGUCAAAGAUUUGCCCUUCAAAGCCCAUCUUUUCCUCCCUCAACUGACCGGUCUCAUCGAUUUUAGUUCUCAAGUCUUUUUCCAAUUCACCUUUCUGAUUCUUUAGAGAAUUGACCUCAGAUUCGAGUUCCUUCGUUUGUGCCAGCAAGCCCUCUUUCUCCAGAAGAACCCUUUUUUGAUCCUCACUCUUGUUUAUUAUCUCUUUUUUUUUGCCUUAUCUAUCUCAAUCACAUGAUCUGAAUAGCCAGGGUUUUACCCUCAAGCUGAACUUCAAGUUCUGCUUUCUGGCUAUGCAGGGACUCCAGCUCCUGCUGCAAUGCAUUUAUUUGAUCCAUCAAGUUCUUGAGUUAAUGCUUCAUCACCUUUCACUGCAAUUUGUUCUUCCAACUCAGCUUUCUCGGUAUGUAAUAACUCCAUGCCUGCUACCAGAUUGUUGAUCUGAACUGUCAAAUUUUCAACUCUAGACAACGAUUCUUUCUCAUUAUUCUCAAAUUUCUUUGUGAGAGUCAAAAGUUCCUCUUAUCUUGUCUUUAAUAUCAUCUCAAGUUGUGAAAUUUGGGAUUGCAGUCCCAUAUUUACCUCUCCCAGCUGUUUUGCAUCACUUGUUUUGUUCCCUAUCUGAAGCUCCAUAUCUCUGUUUGUUGUUCGCAAUUGUUCCAACUCGAGUUCCAAGCCUGUCACUUGUGCCUGUGAGUCUUUUAUCUUAGCAGAUGAUUGAUUCCCAUGCACCUCGUGCACCUCUUUGAGCGUCACAAAUUCCUUUUCUUUUUCACCCAGUUCCACCUUUGAUUGACUAAUUUCAGCCAUGAGUUGAUGUAUUGUGCCCUGUGCGAGCUGAAUCUCAUUUGAAACGUCAGAAAGCUUGGAGUUCAGUGAUUUAUUCUUUUCCAACGUGGCAU